ACAUACCCUCUCUAAGUCUCUACUUCCUCCUCUGUAACAGGGGGAUGAUGCCUCAUAAAGUACAAUAAUGUAAAGCAUUGAGAAAGGCAAGGAGUAAGCAUUCAAUAAAGGUUAGACAUUUUAAUUGCUUUUCUCAAUUAUUCAUUUGACAAAUAUUUAUUGUUUAAUAUGUGCUAGGCAUUGUUUUAGGCACUGGGGACCUGAAAGUAGAAAAACAUACAGCUUUGGUACUCAUGGAACUUACAUUCUGGGAGGAAGGGAGACCCAAAAUAAACAAACAAGUAAAUAUGCUAUUCCAGUAGGUGAAAAAGUAAUGACAAAGGAGAAAAAAGGAAAAGGGAUUGAGAGCAAUCGGAGGUGGGAAGGGGGUUAGUGACAUCUUAUCAGUUUCUCUGAUAAGAUAACAUUUAAACCAGGAACAAGAGGAUGUAAGGGAGUAAGCCAUGUGGGCAUUUGUAGGGAGAUCAUUCAAGGUACUGGGAACUGCAUGUGCAAAGGCACUGCUGUAGGAGUGUGUUUGGUGUGUUGAGCGAGGAAGAAAGAGCAGCUAGAGUGGAGAAAGUAAGGGGGAGAGUGGCAGGAGAGGAGGUCAGGGAGGCGGCAGGGAGCAGCCAGAACAUCGUACAACCUUAUAGACCAUGAUGACUUUGGAUCUUAACUGCGGGUGAGAUAGGGAGCCACUGACCGGUUCUGAGCCCGAGAAGGUCAAAUAGAGCGAAGUUUCAGGAGGAUUACUCUACCUUCUGUAUGAAGGAUAGACAAUCGGAAGGCAAACAGGGAACCAGGGAGACCAGUUAGUAGCCUAUCACAGUUGUCUACACAAGAGAUGAUAGCAGUUUGCACUAGAUGGUCAUAAUAAGGUGAGAAGAGGUCAAAUGCUGUAUAUAUUUCAGUUAACAGUCAGUAGUAUUUGCAGAUAGAACAGUGUGAGGUUUGGGAAACAGACAGUAGUCAAAGGUGACUCCAAGGUUUUGGCCUGAGGAGCAGGUGGGAUGGAACGAGCACUUACCAAGAAGGCAGAGUCGAAGCGAGGACAAAUUUGGUAAUCUGACGCGAAGGCAAGAGACAAAUCAAGAAUUUUGAUUUGGAUAUACUAAGUUUGAGUUGUCUAUUAAGUAGCCAAGAUGUCAAGCAGGCAGUUUGAUACACUAAUCUAGAGUUUAGCAGAGAUGACAGGGUCUGAGAUAAAACUGUGAGAAUUGUUGUCAUCAUUAGAGCUAUUGGCCAAUAUUUCUGGUUUGCUUCUUCUAGGUCCAUAAUGUGACUGUAUUUCCUGCCCCGUUAGCCACAGCCAUGUGACUUGAUACAGCCAAUGCAAUGAGAACGGAAAUGAUUCCGUCACUUCAGGCAGAGGCCUUGAGAGUUCACCAUUUCUGCUUUUCUUGUCUACGUGAUUGUGGACAUACGUGUCAGCCUGGAUCUCUGAGUGACCACAGUUAACUGUUAUCCCUGCUGACUCAUGAUGGACACUUAGAGAAAAAGAGAAGCAAAUCUUUAUUUUCCUACAGCACUGAGAUUUGAGGGUAUUUUGCAGAAAAAUCUAGCUAUUCUAACAAUUAUGCAUAAAUCAUAAAGAUAAAAAUGUAUUUAAAUCAUGGACCUGGAUAAGAUCACCUACGGCAUGCGUUUUGAUGGUAAUGAGGAGCGGGCUGAGGGCUGAGCCCCGUGGUCCUGUCCCAACACUUAGAGGUGAGGAAGAAAAGGAAGUUCCAGGAAAGGAGAGGAGAGGAGCAGCCGCUAAAGAAAAUUAAGAGAUCGCGUGGAGAAAAUGCCUUAAGAAGGAGGAAGUAAUCGACUGUGUAAAGUGCUGUGGAUUGGCUAAGAAAGAUGAGAAUUUGGAAAUGAGCAAUGGAUGGACAAUGGAUUUGGCAACAUCGAAGUUACUGAUGAGCUUGUUAAGAAAGAUUUUGAGAAGGGUUGGGAGCAAAAGUUGGUUGGUACUGGGUUCAGGAAUGAACGAGAUAAAAGGAAUCGAGAUGGUAAGUACAGACGAGAAAGACGGAGAACAUUUUCCUGUUAAGAGAAACAAAAUGAGCAGGGAUCAAAGGAGGAUGUUUUAAGGUAGAAGAUUAUAGCAAUGAAACAAUUUAUCCAGUAGAGAGAAGAUAUUAAUGACGCAGGAGAGUGGACCACUGCAGGAGCAAUGUCACUGACAGGGAGAGGGGGUGAUCGAGCGUUCAAAUGAUGAGGCUGGAGUGUGAGCAGUCCUCCAUGGUCAGAGGAGAGAAGACAAAUUGUAAGGGUACAGAUGCAGAUAGGGAGGCAGGUGGGGUGAUGAGGUAAAAGUUCUCUUUUGAUUGGUUCGAUUUUUUCAACGCAAUAAGAAGUAACGUCAGGACUUCCCUGGAGGUCCCGUGGUAAAGAAUCUGCCUUCCAAUGCAGGGGACACAGGUUUGAUCCCUCGUUGGGGAGCCAAGAUGCCACAUGCUGCUGGGCAACUAAGCCCACCUGUGUGCCACAACUACUGGGCCGGUGCACCUCAACGAGAGAGAGAAAAACCUGCACACCAUAACUUGAGAGAAGUGAAUGAAGAGCCCAUGUGUGCCUCAACCAAAGAUCCUGCAUGUCACAACUAAGACCCAACGCAGCCAAAAACAUAAAGAAAAUAAAUAAAUAAAUAUUUUUUUUAAAGAAAUAGUUAACGUCAUUUGCUAAGAGUGAGGACAGUGAAGACUCAGCCCAUCAUCAUUGAUCAGCCCUGAAAGGUGUGCAUUGUGAACAGAUCCCCAAAUCUCAGUGGCUUAUGAUAACAGUGUCUGAAUCUCAGUCAAGCCACAAGUCCACUGUGUUUGGCUGCCAUGCUGUUUCAUGUCAUCUUCACUCCAGGACCCAGGAGACCCUGGCAGAGACUAUCUGGAAUGUGGCUGGUGACAGAGGGAAAAGAUUACAGCAAAGCACAAACUCUUCUUAAACUUUUGAAUGAAUGAGAUACAUAUCACUUCUCAUACUCCAUUGGCAGAGCAAGUCUCUUGGCUAAGCAUGACUUCAGUGGCUUGGGAAAGUAGAAUCUUCUCUCAGGAAGGGCAAACAGAUGUUGGUAUACUGUAAUACAAUCUACCAAAGGGACCUCCCCCAGUCUUCCCAGAUAGAGUUCAUCAUUGCUUCCUCUGUUUCACCUCCAGAAUUUCUUUAUGCUUCUAUUAUUACAGAGGGUGUUAUAACUGUUUACAUGGCUCUAGUCCCUUGACUAGACCAGGGACUCUUUGUCAAGAUUAGGACUGUCUGUUAUUGUCUUGUCGCUUAACACAGUGCCUGGGACAGAGUAGAUGCCCUGUUGAAUUAAAUAUCAUUAGUACUGGAUAGAUUGAUGAAGACUGGAUGAAUUGAAUAGAUUUGGAUAGAUUGGAUCAGAUUGAUGUAAAGCAGAGUAUUUGAGUCCAUGUGUUGGUGUGUGGUAUAAAUAAUUAAGCCUGAAUUGAAUGUAGCAUAAGGCAAAAUUAGCUUAGAUGGAACUUUGAAUGCAGAGAGCUGUUUGCUUAAUGAUGAUGCUUUACUGAUGAGAAAAUUAAAGCCUACGUAGAAGAGAGGACUGGUCCCAUGACAUCACAAGAGUCAGUGAAGAAACUAGGUUUUCAUUUUCCUAAUUUGGUUCUCUUCCUAUCAUAACCAGAA